GGAGCGGUAGCGCAGUGGAGUUGUUUCUGUGUGUAGUUCAGAAGGGCAUGGGUUCGAAUCCCCUCUGCCCCC
rfam:Hordeum vulgare subsp. vulgare, WGS project CAJW01000000 data, contig: morex_contig_2572952